CUUUUUAGGUAGCCAGCUUGUGCACUUCCCCAUAUAUGAACUGAAUAAGACAAAUGUGGGAAGACAAGUCCAUAAUACACUGAUCUGAGGACUUUAUCAUAUGUUCAAACCAACCGUGAGGACCUGAUCUGAGAUUUUUAGCUUCAAGAAUCAGACCCCUAGACAAGAAGAACUGGAGCCAUCUAAACAUGACAAGGUUUCACACUUAUUUGGACUAUAGACAACUUGGCGAAGAGUUCUCGGGCUUCCACCCGGCUGGAAGCAUACAUUCACAUAUAGACAACUUGUAAGCAAGAAGAACUCUAUUUGCUGUAAUCAGAAAUUUGUCAGAUGCUCUGUAUUUCCUUCUGUAACUUUUGCUGUUUUUUGUAAACUAACAUAUACUUAUGUUCAUAGGAAACUGAUGACCAUAAAACCUAAAACUUUCUUGUAAAUUUGGAAUUUGACAUUGACAAUUGGUAUUCUAUCUUUUGGCAUCAUUUUUACAUUGUCUGGCAAACCUUAUAGUAGGCCAGAAAAUACAGUAAACACAUUGUUUCCAUUUAUGUGACAGGGGGUGAUGUAAUGGGACAUCCUCCUCUAGCUUUACUUUUCCUCAAUAGUAGUUGUCAAUACCAUCAUUAUUUUUUGAAUUUUGGACAGGUGAAUAUUAUCUCAAUUACUUUUUGGGGAACUUCCAUAUAAUCUAAU